UGCGAAUCAAACACCAGGCAAUCACAACCAUCCAUCCAUCCGACCAGCCAAAAACGCUAGCGUGACAAAGAAUCUCCACACGAAGCCGGAUCUAAAUUUAAAAUUAAAUCCCGUUAAAUGCGGUGAAAGUCGCCCACACCAGGGAACGCGUAUAAAUAACGGCCCGGCAGAGGCGCCAGCCAAAGCCUCUCUCCGCAACGGAAAAUUAAGAAGAAAAAAAAAGAGAGAAGGAAAUCGCAAAGUUCGGGUUAGAGAUCCGGCGAGCCUCGUCGGGUUUCGACCACCUGAAUUCGAAUCAUUAGUUUUCGGAGCCCCGAAACGCACCGUUUCUCUCCUCUCGUCGACUUCGAGUUCUCCGAAAAUGAAGGGCUCGGGCCCUCUGGUCGCAUCGGUAGUCGCCGCCUCCACCAUGGCUCUGACGACGUCGUCUUCGUCCAACCAGGGUUUUUCUUCCCCGGCGACGAAGAACGGCGGGAAAAAUUCGCAUACGGCGUCGGACAAGGAUAAGUUCGAGCCGAGAUUCGACGGUUUGAGGUUCAUUGAGACGCUGGUGACGGCGCACAGAUGAUUAAUUUGACGGCGGAGCUCUAGAGUUAGUUGUAAUUCCCGCCAUUAGAAUUCAGAGGAAAAAAACCUUGUACUUCCUUUUCUUUCCCCUUUAGUUUUUCUUAUUUUUCCAAAGUUGAAGACUUUGGCGUUGAUUUGUGAUUGGGUCUCUUUUGGGUGUUUAAUUUGGGUUCUCCAAUCUCAUAAUUCACAUCAAUUAGCAUUUAAUCUUAUAUUAAUUAAAUGAGAAGGUUUUUUUCUUAUUUAA